GAGUUUGAUUCUGGCUCAGGACGAACGCUGGCGGCGCGCCUAACACAUGCAAGUCGAACGAGAGAUGAGGAGCUUGCUCUUCAAAUCGAGUGGCGAACGGGUGAGUAACGCGUGAGGAACCUGCCUCAAAGAGGGGGACAACAGUUGGAAACGACUGCUAAUACCGCAUAAGCCCACAGCUCGGCAUCGAGCAGAGGGAAAAGGAGCAAUCCGCUUUGAGAUGGCCUCGCGUCCGAUUAGCUAGUUGGUGAGGUAACGGCCCACCAAGGCGACGAUCGGUAGCCGGACUGAGAGGUUGAACGGCCACAUUGGGACUGAGACACGGCCCAGACUCCUACGGGAGGCAGCAGUGGGGAAUAUUGCACAAUGGGGGAAACCCUGAUGCAGCGACGCCGCGUGGAGGAAGAAGGUCUUCGGAUUGUAAACUCCUGUUGUUGAGGAAGAUAAUGACGGUACUCAACUAGGAAGUGACGGCUAACUACGUGCCAGCAGCCGCGGUAAAACGUAGGUCACAAGCGUUGUCCGGAAUUACUGGGUGUAAAGGGAGCGCAGGCGGGAGAACAAGUUGGAAGUGAAAUCCAUGGGCUCAACCCAUGAACUGCUUUCAAAACUGUUUUUCUUGAGUAGUGCAGAGGUAGGCGGAAUUCCCGGUGUAGCGGUGGAAUGCGUAGAUAUCGGGAGGAACACCAGUGGCGAAGGCGGCCUACUGGGCACCAACUGACGCUGAGGCUCGAAAGUGUGGGUAGCAAACAGGAUUAGAUACCCUGGUAGUCCACACCGUAAACGAUGAUUAUUAGGUGGUGGGAGGAUUGACCCCUUCAGUGCCGCAGUUAACACAAUAAAGUAAUCCACCUGGGGAGUACGACCGCAAGAUUGAAAAUCAAAGGAAUUGACGGGGGCCCGCCCAAGCAGUGGAGUAUGUGGUUUAAUUUGACGCAACGCGAAGAACCUUACCAAGUCUUGACAUCCCUCGACGAUGCUGGAAACAGUAUUUCUCUUCGGAGCAUGGAGACAGGAGGUGCAUGGUUGUCGUCAGCUCGUGUCGUGAGAUGUUGGGUUAAGUCCCGCAACGAGCGCAACCCUUAUGGUCAGUUACUACGCAAGAGGACUCUGGCCAGACUGCCGUUGACAAAACGGAGGAAGGUGGGGAGGACGUCAAAUCAUCAUGCCCCCUAUGACUUGGGCUACACACGUACUACAAUGGCGUUAAACAAAGAGAAGCAAGACCGCGAGGGGGAGCAAAACUCAGAAACAACGUCCCAGUUCGGACUGCAGGCUGCAACUCGCCUGCACGAAGUCGGAAUUGCUAGUAAUCGUGGAUCAGCAUGCCACGGUGAA
rnacentral:rRNA from 1 species